rfam:Oryza sativa Japonica Group DNA, chromosome 5, cultivar: Nipponbare, complete sequence.
AACCACACUAUCAAUGAAUAGAUUUACCCGUGAUAUGACAUGGCUGUUCUACUUAGGACAAAGACGUGGCAUCCUAUUACCAGCCAUCGCACGAAAUUAAUAGGAUGCCAUAGGUGGAAGUCAUCUCGUAGUUGAAUCCAUUCAUUGAUAGUGUGGUU